rnacentral:lncRNA from 1 species
GGCGGGGCUUGUGCUCCGCGGGGGCAGGGCGUAGGGUGGGCCUCCUACCUCCCCUGAUCUCGCGGUUUGUUCCGUUUCAUUGGAGCUUCCCGGACCGUGUGCUCGACGGUGCCCUAGGUGCCGUGGGGCCACACGCGAGUCUGAUAAGCACCCUCCCCCGGAAUCAUGCGGUGCUGUGAGGCCUAGCGAAGAUGAAGAUAGAAUGCAAGGUAGAAAGUGCUGGAUACCUUUAGAAAGCUGCAGGACUGGUGCGAUGGGAGUUGAGACGUAAGAACCUGCCCGUCCGUAGGGCUCUGGAUGCUGCUGAGGCCCGAGGCCCCUAUGGCAGAUUUGAAAAUUCACCCUUGUAGAGUCAUUCCUGCCUUUGAGCGGACUCCCUUUUAAGAGUCUCACUCUAUCGCCCAGGCUGGAGUGCAAUGGUGCCAUCUCAGCUCACUGCAACCUCCCCUUCCCAAGUUCAAGCAAUUUUCAUGCCGCAGCCUCCUAGCUGGGAUUACAGGGUCCCACUCUGUUGCCGAAGCUGGAGUGCAGUGGCACGAACAUGUCUCACUGCAGCCUCAACCUCCUGGGCUCAAGCUUUCCUCCUGCCUCAGCCUCCUGUGUAGCUGGGACCACAAGCACUCGUCACCACACCUGGAUAAUUUUUUGAUGUUUUGUAGAGACAGUGCUUCAGUUUGUUGCCUGUGCUGGUCUUGAACUCCUGGCCUCAAGCAAUCCUUCUGCUUUGGCCUCCCAGAUUGCUGAGAUUACAGGUGUGAGUCACUGUGCCCGGCUCCCUUCUGCUUCUUUCCUGGAUUUUGUCAGUUUUGUCUUGCCUUAUUUUGUCAUGUUUUCCAUGAAUCUCUAUAUUUGUAUUUUUG